AGAGUUUGAUCAUGGCUCAGGACGAACGCUGGCGGCGUGCUUAACACAUGCAAGUCGAACGAUGAUGCCCAGCUUGCUGGGUGGAUUAGUGGCGAACGGGUGAGUAACACGUGAGUAACCUGCCCCUGACUCUGGGAUAAGCGUUGGAAACGACGUCUAAUACUGGAUAUGAUCACUGGCCGCAUGGUCUGGUGGUGGAAAGAUUUUUUGGUUGGGGAUGGACUCGCGGCCUAUCAGCUUGUUGGUGAGGUAAUGGCUCACCAAGGCGACGACGGGUAGCCGGCCUGAGAGGGUGACCGGCCACACUGGGACUGAGACACGGCCCAGACUCCUACGGGAGGCAGCAGUGGGGAAUAUUGCACAAUGGGCGAAAGCCUGAUGCAGCAACGCCGCGUGAGGGAUGACGGCCUUCGGGUUGUAAACCUCUUUUAGUAGGGAAGAAGCGAAAGUGACGGUACCUGCAGAAAAAGCACCGGCUAACUACGUGCCAGCAGCCGCGGUAAUACGUAGGGUGCAAGCGUUGUCCGGAAUUAUUGGGCGUAAAGAGCUCGUAGGCGGUUUGUCGCGUCUGCUGUGAAAUCCCGAGGCUCAACCUCGGGCUUGCAGUGGGUACGGGCAGACUAGAGUGCGGUAGGGGAGAUUGGAAUUCCUGGUGUAGCGGUGGAAUGCGCAGAUAUCAGGAGGAACACCGAUGGCGAAGGCAGAUCUCUGGGCCGUAACUGACGCUGAGGAGCGAAAGCAUGGGGAGCGAACAGGAUUAGAUACCCUGGUAGUCCAUGCCGUAAACGUUGGGCGCUAGAUGUAGGGACCUUUCCACGGUUUCUGUGUCGUAGCUAACGCAUUAAGCGCCCCGCCUGGGGAGUACGGCCGCAAGGCUAAAACUCAAAGGAAUUGACGGGGGCCCGCACAAGCGGCGGAGCAUGCGGAUUAAUUCGAUGCAACGCGAAGAACCUUACCAAGGCUUGACAUACACCGGAAACGGCCAGAGAUGGUCGCCCCCUUGUGGUCGGUGUACAGGUGGUGCAUGGUUGUCGUCAGCUCGUGUCGUGAGAUGUUGGGUUAAGUCCCGCAACGAGCGCAACCCUCGUUCUAUGUUGCCAGCGGGUUAUGCCGGGGACUCAUAGGAGACUGCCGGGGUCAACUCGGAGGAAGGUGGGGAUGACGUCAAAUCAUCAUGCCCCUUAUGUCUUGGGCUUCACGCAUGCUACAAUGGCCGGUACAAAGGGCUGCGAUACCGUAAGGUGGAGCGAAUCCCAAAAAGCCGGUCUCAGUUCGGAUUGAGGUCUGCAACUCGACCUCAUGAAGUCGGAGUCGCUAGUAAUCGCAGAUCAGCAACGCUGCGGUGAAUACGUUCCCGGGCCUUGUACACACCGCCCGUCAAGUCAUGAAAGUCGGUAACACCCGAAGCCGGUGGCCUAACCCUUGUGGAAGGAGCCGUCGAAGGUGGGAUCGGUGAUUAGGACUAAGUCGUAACAAGGUAACC
rnacentral:rRNA from 1 species